UACGGAGGGUGCAAGCGUUGUUCGGAAUUACUGGGCGUAAAGCGCACGUAGGCGGGCUUGUAAGUCGUCUGUGAAAGCCCCGGGCUCAACCUGGGAAUUGCAGGUGAAACUAUAAGUCUUGAAUACCAGAGAGGAUAGUGGAAUUCCAGGUGGAGAAGUGAAAUUCGUAGAUAUCUGGAGGAACACCAGAGGCGAAGGCG
rnacentral:rRNA from 1 species